AAGUCAUUCCUGCUGAAUGCCAUUCUCUCACCAGCAUCCAGUCUAGGAGUAGGGGGGUACACCACCCCCGCAUCUCUCCAGGAUGACUUGCGCCUGUAGCAUUGGAGAGCUUGGCUGUGGCCCCAAAGCACUUAUGAACAGGGAAGUUUCCAAUUCAGAGGCACCCAUAAAUGCCCGUAAGUCGGUCCACACGGAUUCCCCAACCCGGUCAGAAAGCCGUUUCUAUAGCCUAGAAUCGUUUUGGUGUGUGUGUUUACUCCAAGGAGAGAGGAGCUGACCAGUCAGUUUAGUUUCUGGAUACAUAUUGAAAGGGUUUUUUAAAGCAGUUUUCCAGUUGCAGACGACUAGUUCUUGAUUCUCUCACCUACCAAGGCAGUUUGUCACUUUGACCCUUCACCGUACCACAGUCCACAUUUUUUAGCUAAAGGCUGAAGUCUUCCCCCAUGUCAGAUAGAAUGUCAUUGCAUUACAGCUUUUCAGACAACUUCUGGGGACCUGCCUAGAAAACUAUCUUUCUGAUCCCUCACAAGAGAGUGAGGCCAGCUGAGAGACUGCAGACUCCCUCAUGCUCGGCUUGAACAGAUCGGGGAUUGCAGUGGCAAAGCUAGGCUAGGUCUUGGAGACUAGUGUAAGACGAAGCGGGUGAAGGCAGGAAGCUGAUGGAGACACUGGGGGGAAGAAAAGCCGAAAUGGAUUCACGGUGCCUUGGAUGGAGGACGAGAGGGGAAUUGCAAGCUCCUUCAACUCGCUCUGUCCGGUGAGAAGUGAUCAAGCUUGGGCUGACAUGAGGCUCAGGGAGCCCUCACGUUCUUUCGCUUUUUUACCUGCCAAUCAAACUGCUACAAGACAACACCCUGAUCUGGCAUGGACAUCGCGGGUCCAAGCCUGUAGCCCCAAAUCGGAUAAUCUCUGCAACUGAUAACAAGCAAAAGAGAAGCCAGGCAACAGCCAUAUUAAAGAAGAAAACAGUCAACUCAGAGGAUACAGACAGGCAGAAGUAACUAGACGUCCAAGGUCUUGCCGGCCCAGGAUUUCAAACAAAAGAAAACUCGGGUAACAGGACUGUAAAUCACGGGCGUUUGGGACCUUAGACACGCGCACCCAGAAGGGUUAAUCCGAGGAGAGGGAGGGGAGAGGCUCCUCCUGCAGUCUGUAUCCAACUUAGAAAUAAUGUUUCACUCAGCAUAAGGCUUGUGGUUUAGGAGAUUCUGGCCUGGCUUGCCUCAUUCUAAGACUUCUAUCAUCUCUUUUCAAAACCAAAGGAGGAUCUCAUUUCCUGUUUGAUAGUUCCUCAUGCUUUGCCAGCCUCCGGGUCUUUAAGGAAACUUGCCAAGAGUUCCAGGCUGGGAAGGACAGUCAGAGUUCAUCACAGAGAAUGAGCUGGCACCACCGGUAUGGUGACUCACCAACCUGGUUGCCCAUUUUGCAAUGGCAAGAACCACACUAUCUACUUGAAAGACCUGUGUUUUAGCAAAGUGCAAUUGGAUCACCUGCAAAAUCAUCUCAAAAUAUAUCUCUGAUCUUCCCUUUCACUGGCUGUUUUGAACACAAGACAAGAUGCCACCCUGGGAGUUUUAUUUUCUCCAGGAAAGUAGAGUUGUCUUUGGGAAUUCUAGCUUGCGAACUCACUAUGUAAAUGUGGUCAUCAAGCAAGACGGAACUGCCAAGAGGGAAGAUUUUGAAUGUUUCUCUUUCUUAAAACCCUUUACAGCAUUCCUUCUUCCAGUGGUACUUUACUCAAAAGUUUUCCCCUUUCCCCAGCGCUGUUGAAAAUGGCUCCAAAGCAAAACUGCAGUAGCUAAACCAGUUGUACUGUGAAGUUGUUGAGGUGACAUUUCAUCUGAAUCCUUUGUAAAAAUUAGAUUUUAAGUAAGGGUGAAUGUCCAUUUGGGAAAAGGGACAAGGGAGGGUGGAAGGAGAGAGGGAGAGGACCGAGCAGUUUAUAUACAUAUAUGCUCUUUGUGUUUGAAGGCCUCUCUGUCUUGGCUUCUCACUAUGUUAAAUCCCUAUGAUAAAACUUAUCUUCACAAAGCCUAUUAUAGUAUUCUGAGAACAAAUUGGACCAUGAAUAACUUAGUUGGAAGUGUAGAUUAUUUUCUACUCAGGGCAAGUUAGCGAUGACAACAGCUUAACUAAAAGAAUAGUGAUUAAUCUUAAAUAGAUAGAUUUCAAAGUUUCCCUCUUGGCAAAGUGCACCUUUGAUAUCUGUCCUCUUCAGAGGCAGGUUUCCACUUUCUUUGAAUUAAGAAUUGUCCUAGUGAAUACACUGUCCACUUGACACACCAGGGCUCUAAGCGUAGAUCUUUUUCUCAUAGGUCGUUAAUGUGUCAGAGAGGGGACCAGAAGGACUCUCUACUUCCCAUUGGUUAAAUGUCUGGUUCCAAAGUGGGACCUGUGCUUAGACAUCCAACUCACUGUUAGAAAUGAUACCUUGCAUAAGGCAUAAUUUUUCAAUUAGAUACAAUUAUUUUUUAAAAACAUCUUAAAUUUGUUGAAUGCCCUGUAGCUUACAAAGCACUUCUCAAGUCGUAAUAUUGUUUGAUCCUUAGAAUCAUGUUAUGAAGUAAACAAAUAUCAUUAAUCCCACUUUACCAAGGAAGCUGUCGUUUGCGCUCUGUGAUCCUGCUGAUCAAAGGAAAUAUUAACUCAAAUUUUAUAGCUUCUGUUUCAAGUGAUUAACCUAUAGCAAGAGGCUUUUGAAUUAUUUUUGUGUUCUAUAUCCCUGAAAGUCAAAAUUUUUAUUAAAGAGUAAAAUUUUUAUGUUUCACAGAUAAAGAAGUUAAAAGAACUGAUUGGAAAAAACUCUUCACUUAGAAAUGAAUUUUGCUAAUUAUUGUUUUCCUUUGCAUGUACAUACACAUAUAUAUUUAUAUUUCAACGGUCUUUCAGAGUUGAAGAUCUUACUUUCUAAAAGUCAAGUAUGGGCAGUCCUGUAUAAAUUAAAUAACUACGUGGAAUUUUAAAAGGUACCUGAAAACUAUGUUUCAAAAUACAAUAUUACAAUAAAAACCCUUUAGAAGCAGGUUCAGAAUAUUAACUAAUUAUUUAACAGCAUGCCAUUGAUUAAGUUCUAGAGUGCUAUAGGCGAGGUUUCCCUUCUGGUGUUUUUUUUUCCAGCUUUAUUGAGAUAUAAUUGAGAAAUAAAAUUGUAAGAUAUUGAAAGCGUA